rnacentral:rRNA from 1 species
CAGGAUUUAGUUGGCCACUCUAAGGGGACUGCCGGUGAUAAGCCGAGAGGAAGGUGGGGAUGACGUCAAGUCCUCUUGGCCCUUACGGGCUGGGCUACACACGUGCUACAAUGGUGGUGACAGUGGGCAGCGAGCACGCGAUGUGAGCUAAUCUCCAAAAGCCAUCUCAGUUCGGAUUGCACUCUGCAACUCGAGUCCAUGAAGUUGGAAUACU